GAUUUACCCUGCCAGAGUUGCACAGAUCCUCUUCUAUAAGUGUAAGCCACGGUAGGAACACAGGCCCCUUCCUGUCAGAGCAAAUUCUGCAUUGAUUGUGCCAGUCCUUCAUCACCUAACCUUCUGCAGGUCAUGAGACUAUCUGAACACGGAGGUCUAAGCUGUAUUUUCCAGAUAGAUCUGCCCAGCUUUGUCAACAUGCCAUCUAUGCUCCCACAGCUUGGACAGCCUCGUGUAUGUUGGAGUGGUUACAUGUGUCGCUGCCCACACUGUGUCCACAGAGUGCCACUUGGGUAGAAAUUCUCUGGCCAAGCUGAGAGAGCUGCAUUGCAGGGUCCAAGUCCACCAGCCUCUUCCCAUCUCCCAGCUGUCUCCGUCUUCCUUCCCCUUCUUUCUGGUAAAUCUGCCUCUCAGUAAGAGAAAUGAAUGGCUGCCAUGUUCCCAGAACUUCUAAGGAAGGGCAAUUAUCUUGUUCAAUUCUCUUGCUUUGUGCGAGGGCUGCAGCUGGUGAUGCCCCAACAGGCGAUGCACUGUGGUCUCCUCUGUGCACUCCAUGCGCUCCUUUACCUUUCCAAUGUCAUAGCUUGCCUCACAAUGCUCUCUUCCUUUGAUCCGUCCUGCAGUAAAUCUCUAUCCCCAAGGAGAGUGCUCUGCCUCCUGACCUUUUGGACCAGAUGGGAGGACCAGAUGGUGCCUGGAUCAACUCAAACAAAUCAAAGCAGCUCUGUGAAGGCAGUCUGGUUCGCUGGUUCGCCAUACUAAUGAGACUCAUCCAUCUGCCUCUGUCAUUGCCAGGCUCUCUUUUCUGCUGGAAGUCAGAGAUGAACGCUCAGGACAGGUCCUUUCUAGGCUGCAGUACUUAAUCAUUUCUAAACACGCUAGAUGGCCUCAGGCAGUGAAGGCAACAAGCAUUUAACCCAGGCUUGGCAGCUCAGACUUCCACAUAGUCUGGCUCUAAGCCUUGAUAAUGAAAAGUAGCUGUGCUUUUACUCUCCACUUAACCAGAUGCUCUUUGCUUCUUGGGGCAAAAGGUUAAAUAGAUAUAAGAACCCAUGCUAGUUUUGA
rnacentral:lncRNA from 1 species